AUGCUUUAACAUGCAAGUCGAACGGCAGCACGGGGGCAACCCUGGUGGCGAGUGGCGAACGGGUGAGUAAUACAUCGGAACGUGCCCAGUCGUGGGGGAUAACGUAGCGAAAGCUACGCUAAUACCGCAUACGAUCUACGGAUGAAAGCGGGGGAUCGCAAGACCUCGCGCGAUUGGAGCGGCCGAUGGCAGAUUAGGUAGUUGGUGGGGUAAAGGCUCACCAAGCCGACGAUCUGUAGCUGGUCUGAGAGGACGACCAGCCACACUGGGACUGAGACACGGCCCAAACUCCUACGGGAGGCAGCAGUGGGGAAUUUUGGACAAUGGGCGAAAGCCUGAUCCAGCCAUUCCGCGUGCAGGAUGAAGGCCCUCGGGUUGUAAACUGCUUUUGGACGGAACGAAAAGCCGCUCUCUAAUACGGAGCGGUCAUGACGGUACCGUCAGAAUAAGCACCGGCUAACUACGUGCCAGCAACCGCGGUAAUACGUAGGGUGCAAGCGUUAAUCGGAUUUACUGGGCGUAAAGCGUGCGCAGGCGGUUAUGUAAGACAGAUGUGAAAUCCCCGGGCUCAACCUGGGAACUGCAUUUGUGACUGCAUAGCUAGAGUACGGUAGAGGGGGAUGGAAUUCCGCGUGUAGCAGUGAAAUGCGUAGAUAUGCG
rnacentral:rRNA from 1 species